CCUACGGGAGGCAGCAGUGAGGAAUAUUGGUCAAUGGACGCAAGCCUGAACCAGCCAUGCCGCGUGCAUGAAGACGGCUCUAUGAGUUGUAAACUGCUUUUGCACGAGGGUAAACGCAGAUACGCGUAUCUGUCUGCAAGUAUCGUUCGAAUAAGGAUCGGCUAACUCCGUGCCAGCAGCCGCGGUAAUACGGAGGAUGCAAGCGUUAUCCGGAUUUAUUGGGUUUAAAGGGUGCGUAGGCGGUCGGGUAAGUUAGAGGUGAAAGCCCGAGGCUCAACCUCGGAAUUGCUUUUGAUACUGUACGGCUAGAGAGUAGUAGUGGUAGGCGGAAUGUAUGGUGUAGCGGUGAAAUGCUUAGAGAUCA
rnacentral:rRNA from 1 species